CCCAACCACUGACCAAACUCCACUCCAAGCAGCCACCUGCACUGGGGCUGGCCUGACCUGGCCACUUCUUUCAGUUCCCUGGAACCCCAAAGGGAUCGGCCUCCUCUGGACUCCCCCCUACCUUUGCCUUUCCCUUGAUCAUGAAGGAUUCUCUUUGGUCCACUAAAGCCUGCAGCCUCUUAUGGCCUCUUUCUUGGAACUACAGCUGGGUUACACACACUGGCAACCAGAGGCAAAAGACAAGGAAUCGGGGAUCCACAGACCUGGGUUCCAGUCCUAGAAGUUGUCCAAGACUUGGACGUGGAGAACAAGAGGGAGAUGACUGAAGAAAUUAAAAAAAAAAUCCAGGGGGCAACUGGGUGGCUUAGUGGAUUGAGAGCCAGACCUAGAGACAGGA